rnacentral:lncRNA from 1 species
GUUGUAAUACUGAAAUGGUCAUUCAAGGAAAUAGUACAAAGACAUUGAGAAGUUCUCGAAGCAACAGUUAAACUUGUCUAAACAAUCAUUCGAAUAUCUGUUUUAUGAUAUUUAUAUAGAGUCGAAUGUUGACAUUUUUGGUAUUACUAUGUAAUAUAUACUUUGUUUAUACGAUAAUUACGAAAUAAUAUUUUUCUUGCCGCCCUCCUCGCACUCUUCCUACGACCUGACUACGUUCGAAUUCAUACUACGACUUUCAUUCUCAUUGUCAUUUUCACAUAAAAUAUAUUAAAUUCUCUCCUGGUUUUGUUUGUCUGUAUGUAAUAAGGAAUUCGUGUCCAUUUUCUCUAACUGCCCAACCAUGCCACAUUAUGUAUGUAUGUGCCUAUCCAAGUCUGUAAACCAGUGAUUGUUGUUUGUUAUUGUGUUACAUAUAUGUUUUUCAUUCAUUUUUUUUAACAUAAAUAGAGCCGUUAGUUUUCUCAUUUGAAUUGUCAUUUCGAAGCUUUUGCGGAAUGGAAUGUACUCAUUGUCAAAGGCCGUUCGGUGACAUAUAGUUGUUAAUGUCUGUGUAAUUCUGGUCUCUUGUGAAGAGUUGUCUUAUUGGCAAUCAUACCACAUCUUCUAAUCUUUUUUUAUAUUCACACAUCUGUGUCAUCUCUACUAUCGUUCACUAAAAUAUCGUCAUUUGAGCUUGAUUGACCAGGAAUAGGUUGUAAUUCAAGUUGUAUUAGUCGUUCCGCUGGAUCAGGGUUCGUAACUAUCAGAGCUCUUUCUGCAUCUUAAUUAACCCCUAUUAUCACGCCUACGUGUUCUAGUAGAUCUUGGUGGCACUGCUGUAUUGUUUCGGAGAAAUCUACGUAUUAUUCAGAAAUAGAAGCAAUGGAACUGUAUUGAUAUUGAUUUUGAUAUUAUUGCUGAGAACGUGGUCAGAUCGGUGUGAACGUAGUAUAAUCGUGGUAAGAACGUGCUAUAAUCGCAGUGAUGCGUGUUUCGAUCGUGUUGCAAUCGGAUAACCCUUGGGACAUGGUCGUAGUGAGAACGUGAGGAGCGUAGAAAGAUGUUGAUAAGCGUAGGGAGGUCGCAGAAUAGGCUCGUUGUAGGACGUGUUAUAAUCGUAGCGGGAUCGUUGUAAAAGCGUAAUGAGGACGUAGUAUCAUCGUGAAAGCAACGAAAAUUUACAUUUUCAUGCCGCUCAUACCGCGACCUCGCUACGAUCUGAUUUUUUUUAAAUCGCGGUGAGCGUUGUGCGAUCGUGGUCUAGUGGGACUGGGCUUAAGGGAGAAACAAAAAACUAGAACUCUGGGUCGGAAUCGCUGCUUUGAGAACCGUAAACCUCUAUUUAGGUUUUGAUACUGAUAUGAUCUACAUUUUGCAUUCAAAGUAUCAUAUAAGUGUAAUAAAGAAAGUACCAGGAUAAGCAAUGUUCCGAUUCCAUCGGCAAACGCUGAAUUUAGGUGGACUAUACGGUUUUAUCUUACAAGUGUUUUUGAUUAGAUUAUUCUUUACUAGUUGACGCAUAUAUUUCUUGUGUGAGAACCGUUUGAUAAACACAUAAAAGAGAUUCGCACACAAUACAUUUUUCGAAUAAUAUUUAUUAUUUUAUUAUUUUGCUGCAAAACUUUUAUACCAAUAUUUAAUUCGUGC